GACGAACGCUGGCGGUGUGCUUAACACAUGCAAGUCGAGCGGGAAGCUCGGGGCUUGCCCCGAGUGGAGAGCGGCGAACGGGUGAGUAACACGUGGGCAACCUGCCCCAGACUCUGGGAUAACUCCGGGAAACCGGAGCUAAUACCGGAUACUCUCGGCGGACCGCAUGGUCUGCCGAGGAAAGCUCCGGCGGUCUGGGAUGGGCCCGCGGCCUAUCAGCUUGUUGGCGGGGUAACGGCCCACCAAGGCUUCGACGGGUAGUUGGCGUGAGAGCGCGACCAACCACACUGGGACUGAGACACGGCCCAGACUCCUACGGGAGGCAGCAGUGGGGAAUAUUGCGCAAUGAGCGAAAGCUUGACGCAGCGACACCGCGUGCGGGACGAAGGCCCUCGGGUUGUAAACCGCUUUCGGCAGGGACGAAGCGAAAGUGACGGUACCUGCAGAAGAAGGUCCGGCUAACUACGUGCCAGCAGCCGCCGUAAAAC
rnacentral:rRNA from 1 species